GGGGACCAGGGAUCACCUGGUAGAGACGGUCUGAAAGGAAACAAGGGGGACUCUGGAGAUGUGAUGGGACCCCAGGGCCUGCCUGGACCCAAGGGAGAGCCUGGAGAGCCAGUAGCUGAACAUCUGGGAGAGGGGAUGACAUCUGGACCCAGAGGAUCACGAGGGCCAAAGGGUGAGCGUGGCGUCCCUGGUGUACCAGGAGACCUAGGGGAGAAAGGAGAGCCUGGUCUGGGCGUUGAAGGACCUCCUG